CAUUCUAAGUAUGUUGUCUCAGAGCUCUGGAUCUGAACUCUUUUCAUCACAUGAUAACAGUGAUAAUUAUUUAGUUCUAGGAAAAUGCUAGUUAAAAAACUCAGUGUAUUUUUCCAGUACUUCAUCAGAUAAACAGGAAUCAAGAAUGUCCCUUUGUAAAAGUAUUUAAAAGAAGCCACUUCAGAUAUGUUGUCAUUUUCCUGUUCAAAAGAAGCUUUCUUUUACCCUACACGGGUCAUAACUGGAAUUAUUACUUUUCACUCACUGAUCUUCAACCACUUCUUAAAAGAAGCUUUAAACAGCAACAAAUUGGUCACACGAGCGAUGCCAAAACUUCAGGCCUCCGUGUCAAGAGCCAUGGACACUUUGCUCUUGAAAGAACCUGAUUUUGCAGGAUGCUCUGGUCUGAAUUUGUCGAGUCUACGUUAGGAGAGACCUAUUCUGAUUUUGCCUGGAGCUGAAUAACUCUUCAAUGCACCUCCACUGUCACCCCUGAUGGCUCCCUGCUUUAAGAAGCUGGAUGUUAUCUUUGAUAGCAUGCCACUGAGUAUAGCGAUCCUGAAUGACAGAGCAUCUCUUGCAUGUGCUACUGCUGAUUCAUUUUGUGUGCUUCCUGUGAGGUAAUGAAAUACCUCAAUCACAUCAAAACUGCUGAUUUUUAGAUAGUAGCUAUUAUGUAAACAUUAUACAUAAUGUGACAAGCUUGAAGGCCAGAUCUAGAUGGUAAUGUUCAAGGGUGAUGUUGGUGCGCAGAAAAAUAAUCUUCUGGAAGCCACUGUACCUUCUUGCAGGAGUAAGGAGGAUUUGCGUGACUGUAAGCUCAACAUUGAGCUCUUAGUGUUAUUCAGGUUCAAAAAUUAAUAAGGUAGGAAAAAAAAAAAACCCAACAACCAAAACCCUACUAAUAAUAAAUCUGUGCAAUCUUAGUGUACUAUUUAUCAUCUUCUUGUACCAAAACAAAGUUGGUGAUGUACUUUGCCUUGAGCAAACAUUCGUAUUUUCCAGACUCAGCAAUGUGGUACUGGUUUUCAACCUCUCUGGUCUUGCUGUUUCCUGUCUUCCUUUCCCAGACUUUGGAGUUUUUCACCUAAAUUUUCCUCUUUCGCUUUUAAUGGAAAAGCAAAAUAAAGUUUGUGAUCAGAGCCUUCUCCCACACUAGAGGAUUUUAAAUUCCUAGAUGAGACUCAGCAGGAAAAGAUGAUAGCGUAAUUUCCUUAGAAAUUUUAUAGUUGAAGCAUUUAUAGUAAUAAACCUUUGAGCACUGAGAUUCUGAAAGAGGUACCUGAACCAGCACGUUUUGAAAAGUGUUUCCUAGAUAGAAACCCAGGAGGAGGAAGAGGAGCGGGGAGCACACGCAAUGCAAUCAUAUAACUUGGACGUGUAAUUUUCAGCAAAAGA